GACAGAGGGUGCAAACGUUGCUCGGAAUCGCUGGGCGUAAAGGGCGUGUAGGCGGGUAGAUAAGUCGGGCGUGAAAUCCCGAGGCUCAACCUCGGGUCUGCAGUCGAUACGAGCAAACUAGAGUGUUGCAGGGGAGACUGGAAUUCCUGGUGUAGCGGUGAAAUGCGCAGAUAUCAGGAGGAACACCGGUGGCGAAGGCGGGUCUCUGGGCAACAACUGACGCUGAGGAGCGAAAGCGUGGGGAGCGAACAGG
rnacentral:rRNA from 1 species